CGAGCCUCAUGUGGAGGAGGAAGCAGUUGAAGGCAGGAGAAGCCCGUGUUUGGUUCUCGGAGAGUCAGUCCUUUGGGAAGGAGUCACGAAGCGUUUUCCUCAGAGAGGCAGAGAGGGAGCGAGAGAGUGAGAGAGAGGAGUGUGCAGUGUGGAGAGCUCGGGACUCACCCGCAGGACGCAGCGCUGCUCUGGACCUCAGCACACGUCCCCCGGACCACAGGAGGACGAGAGGAGAACGCAAACGAGUCCAGAAGUGUCAGCACAUAAUGAUGACAUCUCAUCUGAGCGCCACUUGAUUUCUCCGCUGUUUUUUGGUUCCAGUUCCUCCAAAGUGCGGCUCUCCGCGCGCAAGCCGGAGUGACUUUUUUUUUUUUUUACGCACCUUUCCACGCCGCGUCCAUCUGGUGAUUUACACACGUGUUUUUAAGUGACUGGUUCAUUGGAUCCUACCAUUCGGAUGUGACCCCGCUCUCACGUUUUAACCGCGACUUCCUCCUUAUGCAGGACUAAAGGAAUAAAGAGUUGGUUUUGUGGCGAAGCAGCAGCAGAAGGAGCAGAGCGCGCACCUUUGCAAAGCCCCGCUUGAGUCAGGAGGACAAGUGCACAGCGCAGCGGGAGACACGGACUAAAACCGGCACCAACACUGAGCUUCGGAGGUUUGCUCAUGUUCGGGAUCCAGGAGAGCAUCCAGCGAAGCGGCAGCAGCCUGAAGGAGGAGCCGCUGGGAGGCAUGAACGUCCGGGGAUGGAUGCAGGGGGGCGGCGUGCUGGACGCCAACACAGCCGCCCAAAGGUGAGCUCUUCCCCUUCCUUCCAGCCCGGAGGAGACACUGAACACACCACACUGUCCCCAUGCAUGUGUGUGCUGCGUUUACUGACACAUGGAAACAGCAGGAUGUUGUUUUAAUGUCAGGAGCGCGCAGAUGUGCCUGGGCAAGUUGAUGGAGGGGAAACGCGGAGCUGCUGCUGUUGCUGCUGCUGCUGUGUGGAGGAAUCAACUUUCAUUUUCACACAUUUAUGCAGAUGAAUUCACAAUUAAAUAGUGAACGUAAAGGCAACACUGUUUGUGCCACAGAUUUAAAACGCACGCCUUUUUUCCGUUCGUAUUUUUGGAAAAUCCAAAAGAGCGGUUAAUAAAUCUGUGAUUAAGGUUUGAAUAUUGGGAAAUUAAAUCUGUCCAUCUAUAACUGCUUCUUAAACAAACGCAUAGUUGACCUAAUAGUGUUAAAUUGAAUUAAAUUGUGAUGGAGAGUCAGUGAUGUAAAUGUUGACCUCCUGUCACAGAUUAUCAUGAAUAACGACCUCGAGAAUAAAAACGCUUUUCUUGUCAUUAAAACGAAA